UUUACUUAUUUUUGUUAACAUUUGGUAUACCCCCGUCAUCAGAGUAUCCUUUUAGGGUAAAUAUUCUUAAUGUAUAAAAUAAUAUAUGUCAGGUCCAGGUGCAAUUUAUAAAUAAGUAGAGAUGGGUUACAAUAAAUUUAUUUAGACGAAUUAUUAUUUUUAAUGAUAGUAUGAAGGUGGAUUUAAAAGUAAAAUUAUUUUAUUUAUUUGUUUGACUACGGCUCUAAAAUAUGCACACAUCGCCCGUCGCUCUUAUUUUAAGAUAAGAUAAGUCGUAACAUAGUAGGUGUACCGGAAGGUGURCCUAGAAAG
rnacentral:rRNA from 1 species